UGUUAUAUUUCUUGCCAGAUUUAUUAUUCGACCUGGUGUUCAUCCUUGGGUAAAUAUUCAUCAUUAUUUACUUUAAUCUAUUUGUUUCUGUGAUUGAGUUGGGCAAUAAUUUCUGUGAUUAGAGGACUGAUUACUAGCAUCUUUAUUGGCUUAAUUUAUAGUGUCAUUGUGUUGAAACUGAACCUCACAACUGGUUUAGUCCCUAAUCUCAAUGUUUCAGUUGCACUUCUUGGUUUUGUGUUCAUUAAACUUUGGACUAAGAUUCUUGAGAAAGCAAAUAUUGUUUCAAAACCUUUCACUAGACAGGAGAAUACCAUUAUUCAGACUUGUGCUGUUGCAUGCUACAGUGCUUCUUAUGGAGGUGGUUUUGGGUCUUACCGCCGG